AGACCCGAAACCCGGUGAUCUAGCCAUGGGCAGGUUGAAGGUUGGGUAACACUAACUGGAGGACCGAACCGACUAAUGUUGAAAAAUUAGCGGAUGACCUGUGGCUGGGGGUGAAAGGCCAAUCAAACCGGGAGAUAGCUGGUUCUCCCCGAAAGCUAUUUAGGUAGCGCCUCGUGAAUUCAUCUCCGGGGGUAGAGCACUGUUUCGGCUAGGGGGCCAUCCCGGCUUACCAACCCGAUGCAAACUGCGAAUACCGGAGAAUGUUAUCACGGGAGACACACGGCGGGUGCUAACGUCCGUCGUGAAGAGGGAAACAACCCAGACCGCCAGCUAAGGUCCCAAAGUCAUGGUUAAGUGGGAAACGAUGUGGGAAGGCCCAGACAGCCAGGAUGUUGGCUUAGAAGCAGCCAUCAUUUAAAGAAAGCGUAAUAGCUCACUGGUCGAGUCGGCCUGCGCGGAAGAUGUAACGGGGCUAAACCAUGCACCGAAGCUGCGGCAGCGAACGUAUCACCCAAGACAACUUUACGGAGUUGACGAUUGACGGAGCGAAGCGACGUCAAAGCGUUCAUUAAAGUCGAGUUGGCUUAG
rnacentral:rRNA from 3 species